rnacentral:rRNA from 1 species
CUUUGGGCCAACCUCCCA